UUGAUAUCUAGAAUUUACCAUAAAUAGCUUUGCUACAUUUAUAGUAUAAAUGUUGGUUUGGACAUACAGCAUUGCAAGUUGAGAAAAGCGCUGUAAAAAGCCACUGCUGCUUUGGUGUGAAGCA